GGAUGCGAUCAUACCAGCACUAACGAACCGGAUCCCAUCAGAACUCCGAAGUUAAGCGUGCUUGGGCGAGAGUAGUACUAGGAUGGGUGACCCCCUGGGAAGUCCUCGUGUUGCAUCCC
rfam:Nicotiana attenuata strain TT scaffold07248, whole genome shotgun sequence.